GCAUAUCAAUAAGCGGAGGAAAAGAAACUAACAAGGAUUCCCUUAGUAACGGCGAGUGAAGCGGGAAGAGCUCAAAUUUGAAAUCUUCAAGGUUCUACCUUGACGAAUUGUAGUUUAAAGAAGUGUUUUCUGUUAGAUGAGUAGCAAAAGUUCCUUGGAAUGGGACAUCAUAGAGGGUGAGAAUCCCGUAUUUGGUUAUUCAUUCUAGCUUUGUGAUACACUUUCAAAGAGUCGGAUUGUUUGGGAAUGCAGUCCAAAAUGGGUGGUAAAUUUCAUCUAAAGCUAAAUAUUGGCGAGAGACCGAUAGCGAACAAGUACCGUGAGGGAAAGAUGAAAAGAACUUUGAAAAGAGAGUUAAACAGUACGUGAAAUUGUCAAAAGGGAAGCGUUUGACACCAGUGUUGUUUUUCCGAAAAUCAAUUACGAAUGGCUUGAUUUUGUGUUGUAUUGACCUUAUCAGCUUUCUGCACUUUUUUCGAGUCUUUCUUAAUGCACUUUUCGGUUAACAAGUCAACAUCAAUUUCUUUUGUUGUAAAAGAGUAUUCGGAAGGUGGCUUUCUUUUCGGAGAAAGUGUUUAUAGCCCUAUACUUCUACAAUCGGAGAGAUUGAGGUCUGCAGCGUAGAUCCUUCGGGGUUAGAUACACUUGUGCUAAGUUGUAGCUUUUCAUAGACAACUUGUUGACUAUGUUUAGUCAUGCGGCUUACUCGCAUGUGCUAUUUUACCUACGCUUAGGAUGUUGACAAAAUGGUUUUAAACGACCCGUCUUGAAACACGGACC
rnacentral:rRNA from 1 species